rnacentral:ncRNA from 1 species
CUAGUUGAUCCUGCCAGUAGUCAUAUGCUUGUCUCAGAGAUUAAGCCAAGCAUGUCUAAGUACAUACCUUAAAAAGGUGAAACCGUGAAUGGCUCAUUAAUUCAGCUAUGGUUCCUUAGAUCGUAAACGCUACAUGGAUAACUGUAGUAAUUCUAGAGCUAAUACUUGCCUUGAAUCCCUGACCCUCAAGGGGACGGGUGCAUUUAUUAGAACAGAAUCAACCGGGUGCGACUUCGGCUGUGCCUGUUACAUUCUGUGUUGACUCUGAAUAACUUUACUGAGCGCAGUUGGCCUUGUGUCGGCGACGGAUCUUUCAAAUAUCGGGGAGUACAAAGCGUUGAAAUCAUUCUAAUUUAAUACUUAUUAGUAGUAUUUACCUGUAAAUUCAAACAUGACUUUACAUAAAAGAAAUAAGAUUUAAAAUCAAGCAAGUAUCUCAGAUGUAUUAAAACUGAAAGGAUAAACA